AUGCGAAAUCCACCUUCUCUCAAGAGAAAACAAAAUCCGCCGCACAACCUUCACGUUCGAUCAAUGCGUGGCGGCCGUCCGAAGUUGUUGCAGCGUGUUAAUGUCGACGUCGCGAAUUAUGAUGCGAAAAUGCGGAUAAGCAUUACGCUGUGGACUGUCGAAGUUACUGGUGAAGGAUGGAGAUUCUUGAUGAGGAACGUUGAUGAUUGA